rnacentral:tRNA from 1 species
GUAAAUUCCUCCAGUUGUGCAUCAGAGCCGGUCUUGCAAACCGGAGAAGGGAAACUUUCCGUGGGUUCGAAUCCCACCCUCU